UACGGGGGGAGCAAGCGUUGUUCGGAUUUAUUGGGCGUAAAGGGCGCGUAGGCGGCCUGGCAAGUGGAAGGUGAAAUCCCUCGGCUCAACCGAGGAACUGCCUUCCAAACUGCUUGGCUUGAGUCCGGGAGAGGUGAGUGGAAUUCCCAGUGUAGCGGUGAAAUGCGUAGAUAUUGGGAAGAACACCGGUGGCGAAGGCGGCUCACUGGCUCGUUUCUGACGCUCAGGCGCGACAGCGUGGGGAUCAAACAGG
rnacentral:rRNA from 1 species